rnacentral:rRNA from 1 species
CCUACGGGAGGCAGCAGUGGGGAAUAUUGGACAAUGGGCGCAAGCCUGAUCCAGCCAUNCCGCGUGGGUGAAGAAGGCCUUCGGGUUGUAAAGCCCUUUUGUUGGGAAAGAAAAGCAGUCGGUUAAUACCCGAUUGUUCUGACGGUACCCAAAGAAUAAGCACCGGCUAACUUCGUGCCAGCAGCCGCGGUAAUACGAAGGGUGCAAGCGUUACUCGGAAUUACUGGGCGUAAAGCGUGCGUAGGUGGUUGUUUAAGUCCGUUGUGAAAGCCCUGGGCUCAACCUGGGAAUUGCAGUGGGUACUGGGCAACUAGAGUGUGGUAGAGGAUGGCGGAAUUCCCGGUGUAGCAGUGAAAUGCGUAGAGAUCGGGAGGAACAUCUGUGGCGAAGGCGGCCAUCUGGACCAACACUGACACUGAGGCACGAAAGCGUGGGGAGCAAACAGGAUUAGAUACCCUGGUAGUCCACGCCCUAAACGAUGCGAACUGGAUGUUGGGUGCAACUUGGCACGCAGUAUCGAAGCUAACGCGUUAAGUUCGCCGCCUGGGGAGUACGGUCGCAAGACUGAAACUCAAAGGAAUUGACGG